rnacentral:rRNA from 5 species
UGGUUGUCGUCAGCUCGUGUCGUGAGAUGUUGGGUUAAGUCCCGCAACGAGCGCAACCCUUGAUCUUAGUUGCCAGCAUUCAGUUGGGCACUCUAAGGUGACUGCCGGUGACAAACCGGAGGAAGGUGGGGAUGACGUCAAAUCAUCAUGCCCCUUAUGACCUGGGCUACACACGUGCUACAAUGGACAGAACAAAGGGCUGCGAGACCGCAAGGUUUAGCCAAUCCCACAAAUCUGUUCUCAGUUCGGAUCGCAGUCUGCAACUCGACUGCGUGAAGCUGGAAUCGCUAGUAAUCGCGGAUCAG